rnacentral:rRNA from 1 species
UACGUAGGUGGCAAGCGUUGUCCGGAUUUAUUGGGUUUAAAGGGUGCGUAGGCGGCAUUUUAAGUCAGUGGUGAAAUACUUCAGCUUAACUGGAGAGGUGCCAUUGAUACUGGGAUGCUUGAAUACUGAUGAGGUAGGCGGAAUGGACGGUGUAGCGGUGAAAUGCUUAGAUAUCGUCCAGAACACCGAUAGCGAAGGCAGCUUACUAAGGAGUAACUGACGCUGAGGCACGAAAGUGUGGGGAUCAAACAGG